CGGGGCGGGGCCUCGGGGCGGGGCCUACGAAAGGCGUGGCCUUUGGGAGGGUGGGGCGAGAAGAGGCGGACGAUGAGUAAUUCUGAAGGAAGCCAGCCGCCAUGUUGGGAGGACACUCAAGCAGCUCCAGAGGGAAAGGAGAAAGUGGAGCAUCUGCCAACAGUCACCACCCACUCACCAUCAGUGUCAGCGAGUGCGCUGGAUGUGGUCCCUCCAGCCUCCAUAGUCAUCAGAAUGCUGCAUCCCUGACCAACAUCUUGAUAAAGUCAAAUGAGGGACCAGGAGCCAGAAUCUCUCAGCAAAGCUGCUCCCAAAGCCCUGGCUCUCAUAAAUCACAUGUGGAAGCAGUACUCUGACCGGUGGCAGAAGUGUGAGCUUAUUAAAGCAUCUACGGACGUCACAUCCACCAGCAUUCCAUUGGCCCAAACAAAUGGCAUGGCGAAGGCGAGUGAGUGAAGGGGAAGAGAGGUCAGGAUGCUGCUUCUACAAGCCAGAGAGCACCAGCGAUUGCAGCACCCCUGAACGCUGGGAAACCCCAGGACAGAUUCUCCCUGACACCCCCGAGAAGGAACCAGCCCUGCCAACAACGUGAUGUCAGACUUCUGAUCUAUGAGGCAAUAAAUUUCUGUCAUUCCAUCUUCCCAGUUUGCUGCCCCAGGAAGCUAGUAGAACACACUAAUAGGAUCACAGAUGUCACCCAGGUUGCUGGCUUGCCAAAGACCAAGAGGCCAUCACCCAAAGUCAUGGGAGAGAAGCGUCUAUAUUAUCUUUUUUGAUACAGUACGCACAUAUUGGGGUUCGUGCAUGGAUUCAUGAUAUCCAGUAGGCAUUUGGAUCUAUGGAGCUGCAGCUGGGGUGAGAUAUUUAAGAAAGUGUUGAU